UAAUGUAUGGGGAUCUGCCCGAUAGAGGGGAAUAACCACUGGAAACGGUGGCUAAUACCGCAUAAUGUCUACGGACCAAAGCAGGGGCUCUUCGGACCUUGCACUAUCGGAUGAACCCAUAUGGGAUUAGCUAGUAGGUGGGGUAAAGGCUCACCUAGGCGACGAUCUCUAGCUGGUCUGAGAGGAUGAUCAGCCACACUGGGACUGAGACACGGCCCAG
rnacentral:rRNA from 1 species